ensembl:lncRNA LINC02980 long intergenic non-protein coding RNA 2980
GGGGUCUGAAUGCCGCGCCCUCUGGAGAGCCACAGAUGGGUCUCCGCUGAUGCUUCUCUCAAUUUCCUCUAAGAGCGAGAGCUCCGGGAAAGGAGCCGAUCCUGGUGGAAGACUACAGGUCUGAGUCCACUGGACGAAAAACGAGAUGUUCCUGAAAUAAAUGAAAAUGACCAGUUAAAAUGAAGGAAGAACGCGCUUGCGUCCCUCCUAGAGGCUCUCCUCUUGGGGAAAUAAAACAAUCCUGCCAACCAAAGACCCCUCUGGAUCCUCAAACACGCCAUCAGCAUGGAAGGCCGCUAUGGCAUAGCGAGAGAUAAAUAGGAUUCAGGCAGUGCUGUCCUUACAUCGCAAUCAUUCAGGCUCCUUGGAUUAGAGACCAUCCUGAGGACAUCCUUGGGAGCCAUGUGCUGAAGAUGGCCAAGCCACAGGAUGAAAGGAGCUGCAUCUUUGAGUCACCACUGGAGAAAGGUCUCUCUAAAUGGAUUUGCAGAGACGUCUUCUCGAAUACUCCCCUUCUAAGUUCCACUUGUAAUCCACUUCUUCUAUUCUCCCAGCAAUCAAUGUGGUUUGGGGAAAUUCCAGAAUCUCAUAAUACCUUGGUCAUGGGUAAAUAAGGAAAGGACCUUUACAUACAUGUGAUGCAAAGCAGAUCAAAACAAGCAGAGCAGCCUAAGAGCAGCAAGACCCCAAAGGAUAAGGGAAGUCCUGCAGAAGAGCAGAGCGGUGCUGCAAAGGCAGGCAGGUAAGGUAAGCAGACAGGGCCAUCAGGAUGGAUCCUUUGGGCAUGCCAGCAUCCACCAGGGACUGGUAGAGCUAUUUAGAGAAACUGAUAAAAAGCUCUGCCAACUACAGUCACAAAAGAUGGAGCUCAGAAUGAUGAGUAGAUGCCUAAAACAUCUCCAUUUUGUUGAUGAAGAAAGUAAAGUUUAUAGAGCUUAGAUUAUUUGCUUUUGUACCUAGCACAGUACUUAGUUUAUAGUAGAUGCACAAUAAGUAUUUGUUUAAUGAGUGAAUGAGUCACUAGCCUAAGACCUUUAAUAUAACAUGCUUAAACCUGCUACCAGGGAUUGGGAACUCACCUAUUUAGUAGUGAGUAGAGGGGUGUGGUACUGGUACUUAAGACAGAUGCAUUGUGGUUGGGUAUGGUGUGUUUUUGUUUUUGUUUUGAGACAGGUUCUCCCUCUGUUGCCCAGGCUGAGAUGCAGUGGCAUUAUCAUGGCUCACUGCAGCCUUAACCUCCCGGGGCUCAAGCGAUCCUCCCACCUCAGC